AUGCCUUUUAUUGUCACAAGCACAAGGUGCACCUGUGUAAUGAUCAUGCUGUCCGGUCCUCUGGCAGUCUCUAUGGGGGUGCCACAGGGUUCAAUUCUCGGGCCGACUCUUUUCUCUGUGUAUAUCAUUGAUGUUGCUCUUGCUGCGGGCGAUUCCCUGAUCCACCUCUACGCAGACGACACCAUUCUAUAUACUUUCGGCCCGUCUUUGGACACUGUGCUAUCUAACCUCCAAACAAGCUUCAAUGCCAUACAACACUCCUUCCGUGGCCUCCAACUGCUCUUAAACGCUAGUAAAACCAAAUGCAUGCUUUUCAACCGGUCGCUGCCUGCACCUGCAUGCCCGACUAGCAUCACCACCCUGGAUGGUUCCGACCUAGAAUAUGUGGACGUCUAUAAGUACCUAGGUGUCUGGCUAGACUGCAAACUCUCCUUCCAGACUCAUAUCAAACAUCUCCAAUCGAAAAUCAAAUCAAGAGUCGGCUUUCUAUUCUGCAACAAAGCCUCCUUCACUCACGCCGCCAAGCUUACCCUAGUAAAACUGACUAUCCUACCGAUCCUCGACUUCGGCGAUGUCAUCUACAAAAUGGCUUCCAACACUCUACUCAGCAAACUGGAUGCAGUCUAUCACAGUGCCAUCCGUUUUGUCACUAAAGCACCUUAUACCACCCACCACUGCGACUUGUAUGCUCUAGUCGGCUGGCCCUCGCUACAUAUUCGUCGCCAGACCCACUGGCUCCAGGUCAUCUACAAGUCUAUGCUAGGUAAAGCUCCGCCUUAUCUCAGCUCACUGGUCACGAUGGCAACACCCAUCCGUAGCACGCGCUCCAGCAGGUGUAUCUCACUGAUCAUCCCUAAAGCCAACACCUCAUUUGGCCGCCUUUCGUUCCAGUACUCUGCUGCCUGUGACUGGAACGAAUUGCAAAAAUCGCUGAAGUUGGAGACUUUUAUCUCCCUCACCAACUUCAAACAUCAGCUAUCUGAGCAGCUAACCGAUCGCUGCAGCUGUACAUAG
rnacentral:lncRNA from 1 species